CUCCCACUGGCCUGAAUUUACCAAGGGCCUACCGGAUAGGUGGCCCUGUUUAGACACUUCCGAUACAGCCGUGAACAGGCAUGCAGACAUCCCCGCUUCCAUGAACACUGAGCUGAUUUUCUAGUGGGGCCGAAACAGCCAGCACACGAAAUAAAAAACCCAGUUACACCCUGAUUACCCACUGAUCCUAUGGCUCAGUGCCGAGCCCUGUGUGGAGUGCGUGACCACGUCACCUGCUCCAGACCGCAACUUUACCCUGCGAGGUAAAGUUUCGAAGUCCCUCUGUCAUGCGAACACUAGACAGGAGAACUGGGGCUUGUGCCCCGGCCAGCCUCCUGCCCAAGCCCAUGUUCCCUGGGACUCUUUCUCUUCUUUCCCGAUGUCCUUUGCCAAAUUGGGUCUUUCUGUCCUGAUCCUUCAGGAACCGAGGGCUUCACGUCUGCUCCCACCUCUUCCACAUGGAGGUUUCAGGGUGCCCCCGGGGCCACCAUCCCCGGCACACACUCCUGCACCCCUGCGCACAGCGACAGACCCAUCUCUCCCAGGCAGCACGUGCAUGCAAGGAACAGGCUGCCGUAACUGGCCGGAGUGUGACCACACCUUGGAGGUCUCCCCUGGUGGAUGCUUCUGCGCCAGGGCCGGGCCUCUCCCCAGCCAUGCUGCCACCUCCCAGGACCUUGAAGUUUGGGUUGGAGUCCCCAUGGCCUCUACUAGAGGGAGCCAGGAACCAGGGCUGCACCCCCCACUUCCCAGGGACUGGCCCAGCCCCGACAGCCUCCAUGAGAUUCCCCAAAGCAUUCCUCUGUGUGACAGAGCCAGGACAUUGCACCAGGCUCCUGCCUCGGUGUAGGCCCGCGAGUUGCCCCCCAGGUUACAAGUGGGAUGCACUGCUGCCCGCCUCCCCCCAAGGUGAAGAGGUUGACGCAGGAUGAUAAUGACAGGUCCCGCCCAGGCUGGAGGUGAGGUCUGCCCCUUGGUUCACUCUGUGCUCCAAGCACAGCCUCGGGCAUCCGGCCUGGAGCUGUGGAAAGGCAAACCUGACCUUGCCCGCGUAGAGUUUAUAGUCUGAUUAAUAACUGUGUCCCCCUGAAAAAGUUACUGACUUCUCUGGGCCCCGAGUUUCAUAUCUAUAAAGCAGAGGUAACAGCAGUCCCUGCUUCCUGAGGUCCUGUGGGGCUAAAGAAGGCCUUGAACCUGCUGGGUGGAUAGUAAAUGGUAGCUGGGUUAUUGUUAUGGAAGGGUGGAUAGUAAACGGUAGCUGGGUUAUUGUUAUGGAAGGGUGGAUAGUAAACGGUAGCUGGGUUAUUGUUAUGGAAGGGUGGAUAGUAAAGGGUAGCUGGGUUAUUGUUAUGGAAGGGUGGAUAGUAAACGGUAGCUGGGUUAUUGUUAUGGAAAAGAAGCCUUGAA